rnacentral:antisense_RNA from 1 species
UGACCAGCAGCAUAAUGAUGCCCGGCAAUCCGGCGGCCAGCGCCCAUCCACCCCAGCUAAUUUGCAGGUGCAGAAUGUCGUUGAUCAUUUUCAGCGCCAGAAUGUUCCCCGCCAUUGCGGUAAAGAACAUAUAGCUGGUGGUUUUGGUGACCAUGUAAAUGGACAUCAUCAGGUAAUGUCCGACACGACGCGGACUUUUUUCCGGUUCUGACCCCAAAGCCACCGCCACG